CAGCAGCCGCGGUAAAACGGAGGGUGCUAGCGUUGUUCGGAAUCACUGGGCGUAAAGGGCGCGUAGGCGGCCUGUUAAGUCGGAUGUGAAAGCCCGGGGCUCAACCCCGGAACUGCAUCCGAGACUGGCAGGCUUGAGACCGGGAGAGGAGGGUGGAAUAUCCAGUGUAGAGGUGAAAUUCGUAGAUAUUGGAUGGAACACCGGUGGCGAAAGCGGCUCUCUGGCCCGGAUCUGACGCUGAGGCGCGAAAGCGUGGGGAGCAAACAGGAUUAGAUACCCCUGUAGUCCUUGUCUCUUAUAC
rnacentral:rRNA from 1 species